rnacentral:rRNA from 1 species
GAUGAACGCUGGCGGCGUGCCUAAUACAUGCAAGUCGAGCGAACGGACGAGAAGCUUGCUUUUCUGAUGUUAGCGGCGGACGGGUGAGUAACACGUGGAUAACCUACCUAUAAGACUGGGAUAACUUCGGGAAACCGGAGCUAAUACCGGAUAAUAUUUUGAACGGCAUGGUUCAAAAGUGAAAGACGGUCUUGCUGUCACUUAUAGAUGGAUCCGCGCUGCAUUAGCUAGUUGGUAAGGUAACGGCUUACCAAGGCAACGAUGCAUAGCCGACCUGAGAGGGUGAUCGGCCACACUGGAACUGAGACACGGUCCAGACUCCUACGGGAGGCAGCAGUAGGGAAGCUUCCGCAAAGGGCGAAAGCCUGACGGAGCAACGCCGCGUGAGUGAUGAAGGUCUUCGGAUCGUAAAACUCUGUUAUUAGGGAAGAACAUAUGUGUAAGUAACUGUGCACAUCUUGACGGUACCUAAUCAGAAAGCCACGGCUAACUACGUG